UUGAGGGAGAAGAAAUCGUGAUAUAGCAAAAGUGGUUGGCGAAUAUAAACAUAAUUGAUUGUUCCAAUUUCUAACUAAAAUUAAAUUAGCUGCUAUUUGAAUCGUUAGUAGUGUUAGUAGAUUAGUAAAUCAUAGUAAAACAAAAACGUGAAUUAAAGUGGUUUAGCUAAAUAUUAGUACGUUUCUAUGCGAAGCUGUUAUCGGAAAUCAUAAAAGGGGCAUGCAAAACAGUUAAACAUAAGACAAACACGUUAAAAACAGCAUUUCCACCGCCACCGAUCAAUGAGAUUAAACGAAGAACACACUGAAACGAGACACUAAACGUA